CCUUCCUCGGGGCGACCAAUAGCCCCCGGCAGGGCUUGUGCCACCUCAUGAUAAAGGACUUACCCGAUGUGUGAGGAAAUGGAGCAGCUUUCAGAUGAGAGACAACAACAGCAAGAAGUUAUUAUUCAUUUGAACGCCAACCUUACGCUCCCUCUCACCUUCUCCGGCCCCCUACGGGGAGCAGAGGGGGGGGACCCCCGGUCCUCCCUCCCAGCCAAGCCCUCACGGCUGCCGGUGGCAGGAGGAGCUGCCUCCCCGCAAGGAGGGACAGUUGUGGCUGAUGGAUUUCUGGUGUCAGGAAUUGGGUCCAGAAGCUGUGAGGCAACAUAUUAACUGCGAUCCCAUAAUCUCUUAAUCACAUUACAUUUUAAGUGAGCAUGUGUAAUUUCA